rnacentral:rRNA from 1 species
UACGUAGGGGGCAAGCGUUGUCCGGAAUUAUUGGGCGUAAAGAGCGUGUAGGCGGUCCGGUGAGUCAGCUGUGAAAGUCAAGGGCUCAACCCUUGAAUGCCGAUUGAUACUGUCGGGCUAGAGUCCGGAAGAGGCGAGUGGAAUUCCCGGUGUAGCGGUGAAAUGCGCAGAUAUCGGGAGGAACACCAAUGGCGAAGGCAGCUCGCUGGGACGGUACUGACGCUGAGACGCGAAAGCGUGGGGAGCAAACAGG